UCUAGAGGCUUCGACAAUGCCCGAAAGGGUGAUCGAGCGACGCCGCGUGUGGGAUGAAGGUUUUCGGAUUGUAAACCACUUUUGUUUGGGAAGAAGGCUUGUAUCGUGAAUAUGAGAUUGACGGUACCAAACGAAUAAGCCCCGGCUAACUCCGUGCCAGCAGCCGCGGUAAGACGGAGGGGGCAAGCGUUGUUCGGAAUCAUUGGGCGUAAAGGGCUCGUAGGCGGACUAGCAAGUCUGGCGUGAAAUCUCCACCGCUCACCGGGGAGAGGUCGCUGGAUACUACUAGUCUUGAGUUCGGUAGAGGAUUGUGGAAUUUCGGGUGUAGCGGUGGAAUGCGUAGAUAUCCGAAAGAACACCGGUGGCGAAGGCGGCAAUCUGGGCCUGAACUGACGCUGAGGAGCGAAAGCUAGGGGAGCAAACGGG
rnacentral:rRNA from 1 species